CCAGCAAUGGAUACAAACUCUUGACCUAAUCCUAAUCCGAUCAGAUUAGGUCAGCUCAAGAGUUUCAAUCAACUAGGACUCUUCCUAAUUAAUUUUUGAAUUAAACUCUUUUAAUUUUGAUGUCUAGCAACAUGUCAUGACUACCUAAAAGAUUUAAAAUUUUGAUAAAAAAUUAUCAAAAUAUCCUUUAAUGGUAAGUGUUGGUGCAAAAAUCC
rnacentral:lncRNA from 1 species